rnacentral:rRNA from 1 species
GCCAUGCCGCGUGAGUGAUGAAGGCCUUCGGGUUGUAAAGCUCUUUUGGCGGGGACGAUGAUGACGGUACCCGCAGAAUAAGCCCCGGCUAACUUCGUGCCAGCAGCCGCGGUAAGACGAAGGGGGCUAGCGUUGUUCGGAAUUACUGGGCGUAAAGCGAGUGUAGGUGGUUAUCCAAGUUGGAUGUGAAAGCCUUGAGCUCAACUCAAGAAAUGCAUUCAGGACUGGAUGACUAGAGGACCGGAGAGGAUAGUGGAAUUCCCAGUGUAGUGGUGAAAUACGUAUAGAUUGGGAAGAACACCAGUGGCGAAGGCGGCUAUCUGGACGGUUUCUGACACUAAGACUCGAAAGCGUGGGGAGCAAACAGGAUUAAAUACCCUGGUAGUCCACGCCGUAAACGAUGGGUGCUAGACGUUGGCGAGCUUGCUCGUCAGUGUCGCAGCUAACGCGUUAAGCACCCCGCCUGGGGAGUACGGCCGCAAGGUUGAAACUCAAAGGAAUUGACGGGGGCCCGCACAAGCGGUGGAGCAUGUGGUUCAAUUCGACGCAGCGCGCAGAACCUUACCAGCCCUUGACAUGUGACUCGCCGGUCCCAGAGACGGGACCUUCGGUUCGG